rnacentral:rRNA from 1 species
UACGGAGGGUGCAAGCGUUAUCCGGAUUCACUGGGUUUAAAGGGUGCGUAGGAGGGCAGGUAAGUCAGUGGUGAAAUCCCCGAGCUUAACUUGGGAACUGCCGUUGAUACUAUCUGUCUUGAAUACCGUGGAGGUGAGCGGAAUAUGUCAUGUAGCGGUGAAAUGCUUAGAUAUGACAUAGAACACCAAUUGCGAAGGCAGCUCGCUACACGAAUAUUGACCCUGAGGCACGAAAGCGUGGGGAUCAAACAGG